AUUGAACGCUGGCGGCAGGCCUAACACAUGCAAGUCGAGCGGAGCGGCGGACGGGUGAGUAAUGCCUAGGUAUCUGCCUGGUAGUGGGGGAUAACGUACGGAAACGGGCGCUAAUACCGCAUACUAUCAGAUGAGUCUAGGUCGGAUUAGCUAGUUGGUGGGGUAAUGGCUUACCAAGGCGACGAUCCGUAUCUGGUCUGAGAGUAUGAUCAGUCACACUGGAACUGAGACACGGCCCAGACUCCUACGGGAGGCAGCAGUGGGGAAUAUUGGACAAUGGGCGAAAGCCUGAUCCAGCCAUGCCGCGUGUGUGAAGAAGGUCUUCGGGUUGUAAAGCACUUUAAGUUGGGAGGCGUUACCAACAGAAUAAGCACCGGCUAACUUCGUGCCAGCAGCCGCGGUAAUAC
rnacentral:rRNA from 1 species